rnacentral:rRNA from 1 species
AGAGUUUGAUCCUGGCUCAGGAUGAACGCUGGCGGCGUGCUUAACACAUGCAAGUCGAACGGAGUUUUUAAACGGAAGUUUUCGGAUGGAAGUUUAAGAACUUAGUGGCGGACGGGUGAGUAACGCGUGGGUAACCUGCCUCAUACAGGGGGAUAACAGUUAGAAAUGACUGCUAACACCGCAUAAUAUAGUAGAAACCGCAUGUAUUUUGCUAUCAAAUAUUUAUAGGUAUGAGAUCGGGCCCGCGUCUGAUUAGCUAGUUGGUGGGUAAAAGCCUACCAAGGCGACGAUCAGUAGCCGGCUUGAGAGAGUGACCGGCCACAUUGGGACUGAGACACGGCCCAAACUCCUACGGGAGGCAGCAGUGGGGAAUAUUGGACAAUGGGGGAAACCCUGAUCCAGCCGACGCCGCGUGAGUGAAGAAGUAUUUCGGUAUGUAAAGCUCUAUCAGCAGGGAAGAUAAUGACAGUACCUGACUAAGAAGCCCCGGCUAACUACGUGCCAGCCGCCGC